GUCAGCAGCCACACCACCUGCAGUUCAGCCCAGGUUAUCCACCUGAAGAUAAGCAGGUUUGGGCCUGGCCAGUACUUGGGAUGUGAGACCAAUUGGGAAAGCUGGGUUGUUGAUGGAA
rnacentral:rRNA from 1 species